GUGGGGAAUAUUGCGCAAUGGGGGCAACCCUGACGCAGCCAUGCCGCGUGUGUGAAGAAGGCCUUAGGGUUGUAAAGCACUUUCAAUUGGGAAGAAAGGUUGGUAGUUAAUAGCUGCCAGCUGUGACAUUACCUUUAGAAGAAGCACCGGCUAACUCCGUGCCAGCAGCCGCGGUAAUACGGAGGGUGCAAGCGUUAAUCGGAAUUACUGGGCGUAAAGCGCGCGUAGGCGGUUUGUUAAGUCGGAUGUGAAAGCCCCGGGCUCAACCUGGGAAUUGCAUACGAUACUGGCCGACUAGAGUACGAGAGAGGGAGGUAGAAUUCCAUGUGUAGCGGUGAAAUGCGUAGAUAUGUGGAGGAAUACCGGUGGCGAAGGCGGCCUCCUGGCUCGAUACUGACGCUGAGGUGCGAAAGCGUGGGGAGCAAACAGG
rnacentral:rRNA from 1 species